rnacentral:rRNA from 1 species
CAAUAGCGUAUAUUUAAGUUGUUGCAGUUAGAACGCUCGUAGUCGGAUUUCGGGGCGGGCCGACCGGUCUGCCGAUGGGUAUGCACUGGUCGGCGCGUCCUUCCUUCCGGAGACCGUCCCUACUCUUAACUGAGCGGGGGCGGGAGACGGGACUUUUACUUUGAAAAAAUCAGAGUGUUUCAAGCAGGCAGCUCGCUCUUGCAUGGAUUAGCAUGGGAUAAUGAAAUAGGACUUUGGUGCUAUUUUGUUGGUUUCGAACACCGAAGUAAUGAUGAGAAGGGACAGUCAGGGGCACUCGUAUUCCGCCGAGAGAGGUGAAAUUCUCAGACCAGCGGAAGACGAACCACUGCGAAAGCAUUUGCCAGGGAUGUUUNCACUG